rnacentral:rRNA from 1 species
GACGAACGCUGGCGGCGUGCUUAACACAUGCAAGUCGAGCGGUAAGGCCCUUUCGGGGGUACGACGAGCGGCGAACGGGUGGAGUAACACGUGGGUGACCUCGCCCUCCAGCUCUGGGAGUAAGCCUGGGAAACGUAGGGUCGUAAUACUGGAUAUGACUCCACGGUGCAUGUCGUGGGGUGGAAAGCCUUGUGCGGCUGAGGAUGGGCCCGCGG